rnacentral:rRNA from 1 species
UACAGAGGUCUCAAGCGUUGUUCGGAUUCAUUGGUCGUAAAGGGUGUGUAGGUGGCGCGCUAAGUCGGGUGUGAAAUUUCGGAGCUUAACUCCGAAACUGCAUUCGAUACUGGCGUGCUUGAGGACUGGAGAGGAGACUGGAAUUCAUGGUGUAGCAGUGAAAUGCGUAGAGAUCAUGAGGAAGACCAGUGGCGAAGGCGGGUCUCUGGACAGUUCCUGACACUGAGACACGAAGGCCAGGGGAGCAAACGGG